rnacentral:tRNA from 1 species
UCCCGGGUGGUCCAGUGGUUAGGACUCUGUGCUUCCACUGCAGGGGCACAGGUUUGCUCCCUGGUCAGGGAA